AAUAACAGCUGUAUUACAUCUGAGGGUUGUGCUGAUCUGAUGUCAGGUUUUAUUUUAAAUCCUUCACAUAUAAGACAUCUGGAUCUGAGUGGAAAUAACCUUGAAGACUCAGGAAUGAAGAAGAUCUCUGAUCUGUUGACCAAUCCACAAUGCAAACUACAGACACUCAGACUCUCAUGCUGUAGUAUUGGAGAAGAAGGUUAUGUUGCUUUAUGUUCAGCUGUGAGAUCAAACCCAUCACAUCUGACAGAGCUGGAUCUCAGUGGAAAUGAUCCUGGAAAAUCAGGAGUCAAACUCAUCCAUGAUUUAAUACAAGAUCCCAAAUGUGCAUUGAAAAAAUUCAGGUGAAAUAUGCCUUACAUAAAAUUAAAUCAUCAUGUAGUCACCCUCAAGCCAACCUGUACAUGAUUAUCAUAUGGGGAUUGGAAGCAAAAAAAAACAAUGUUUUUUUGCCCCUGGAAAAAACAUUUACUGGAGUAGAUGCCAUUUUCAAAUUCUGUUGUCUUUUAUUAAAUAAAAGACUAUCAGUCAGAAUUCUGGGAAUAGUUCACUCCCGACUAUCCACACUUUAUUCAUUUUAACUUACCACCUCUGUUCAGACACAUCUGAGGAGCUGUUCUUUACUGAAACCGAUGUCAGUCAACCUCAUUCUUUUUUCUUUUCUUGCAUGGAUGUUUAAAGUAGUUUAGUAAAAAAUAGCCUACUUAGUUUGUCAGUAGUAUAUGGUUCUCAUUUUAGUUAUGUGACCAAUUUAAUCAAAUUUUCUCUGUUACAUCAAUGUUGACAGUAAAAUGUUUUUUAAAAAUUCUGCCCUAAGAACCUGGCAAGACGUCUUUGUAUCCCAGUGUUCCCUAGCCUGGCUGCGGCCU